AACGCGUGGGAACCUGCCCUUAGGUUCGGAAUAACAGUUAGAAAUGACUGCUAAUGCCGGAUAAUGUCUUCGGACCAAAGAUUUAUCGCCUUUGGAUGGGCCCGCGUAGGAUUAGCUAGUUGGUGUGGUAAUGGCGCACCAAGGCGACGAUCCUUAGCUGGUCUGAGAGGAUGAUCAGCCACACUGGGACUGAGACACGGCCCAGACUCCUACGGGAGGCAGCAGUAGGGAAUAUUGGACAAUGGGCGAAAGCCUGAUCCAGCAAUGCCGCGUGAGUGAUGAAGGCCUUAGGGUUGUAAAGCUCUUUUACCAGGGAUGAUAAUGACAGUACCUGGAGAAUAAGCUCCGGCUAACUCCGUGCCAGCAGCCGCGGUAAUACGGAGGGAGCUAGCGUUGUUCGGAAUUACUGGGCGUAAAGCGCGCGUAGGCGGCUUUUCAAGUCAGGGGUAAAAUCCCGGAGCUCAACUCCGGAACUGCCUUUGAUACUGGGUGUCUCGAGUAUGGAAGAGGUAAGUGGAAUUGCGAGUGUAGAGGUGAAAUUCGUAGAUAUUCGCAGGAACAUCAGUG
rnacentral:rRNA from 1 species